AUUGAACGCUGGCGGCAGGCCUAACACAUGCAAGUCGAACGCGUGGCGGACGGGUGAGUAAUGUCUGUGACACUGCUCGAUGGAGGGGGAUAACUACUGGAACCGGUAGCUAAUACCGCAUACCUUCGGAUGUUCCCAGAUGGGAUUAGGUAGUAGGUGGGGUAACGGCUCACCUAGGCGCCGAUCCCUAGCUGGUCUGAGAGGUUGACCAGCCACACUGGAACUGAGACACGGUCCAGACGCCUACGGGAGGCAGCAGUGGGGAAUAUUGCGCAAUGGGCGCAAGCCUGAUGCAGCCAUGCCGCGUGUGUGAGGAAGGCCUUCGGGUUGUAAAGUACUUUCAGCGAGGAGGCGUUACUCGCAGAAGAAGCACCGGCUAACUCCGUGCCAGCAGCCGCGGUAAUUC
rnacentral:rRNA from 1 species